rnacentral:rRNA from 1 species
UCGAUUCCCUGAGUAGCGGCGAGCGAAACGGGAAGAGCCCAAACCAACAAGCUUGCUUGUUGGGGUUGUAGGACUCCGAUAUGGUAGUCUGUUAGUAUAGUUGAAGGAUUUGGAAAAUUCCGCUAAAGAGGGUGAAAGCCCCGUAGACGAAAUGCUGACAACACCUAGGAGGAUCCUGAGUACGGCGGAACACGAGAAAUUCCGUCGGAAUCCGCGGGGACCAUCCCGCAAGGCUAAAUACUCCCUAGUGACCGAUAGUGAACCAGUACCGUGAGGGAAAGGUGAAAAGCACCCCGGAAGGGGAGUGAAAUAGAUCCUGAAACCGUGUGCCUACAACAAGUCAAAGCUCGUUAAUGAGUGAUGGCGUGCCUUUUGUAGAAUGAACCGGCGAGUUACGAUUGCAUGCGAGGUUAAGUCGAAGAGACGGAGCCGCAGCGAAAGCGAGUCUGAAUAGGGCGAAUGAGUAUGUAGUCGUAGACCCGAAACCAUGUGAUCUACCCAUGUCCAGGUUGAAGGUGCGGUAAAACGCACUGGAGGAC